rnacentral:rRNA from 1 species
GACGAACGCUGGCGGCGUGCUUAACACAUGCAAGUCGAACGAACCUUCGGGUUAGUGGCGAACGGGUGAGUAACACGUGGGCAACCUGCCCCGAGCUCUGGGAUAACUCCGGGAAACCGGGGCUAAUACCGGAUAUGACCAUCAUGGGCAUCUUUGGUGGUGGAAAGUUUUUCGGCUCGGGAUGGGCCCGCGGCCUAUCAGCUUGUUGGUGGGGUAAUGGCCUACCAAGGCGACGACGGGUAGCCGGCCUGAGAGGGCGACCGGCCACACUGGGACUGAGACACGGCCCAGACUCCUACGGGAGGCAGCAGUGGGGAAUAUUGCGCAAUGGGCGAAAGCCUGACGCAGCGACGCCGCGUGAGGGACGAAGGCCUUCGGGUUGUAAACCUCUUUCAGCAGGGACGAAGCGAAAGUGACGGUACCUGCAGAAGAAGCACCGGCCAACUACGUGCCAGCAGCCGCCGUAACAC